rnacentral:rRNA from 1 species
UGAUCUAGUGGCGGACGGGUGAGUAAUACAUGGGAAUCUGCCUUUUAGUGGGGGAUAACGUAGGGAAACUUACGCUAAUACCGCAUACGCUCUACGGAGGAAAGGGGGGGGAUCGCAAGACCUCUCGCUAAAAGAUGAGCCCAUGUCUGAUUAGCUAGUUGGUGGGGUAAGGGCCUACCAAGGCGACGAUCAGUAGCCGGCCUGAAAGGGUGUACGGCCACACUGGGACUGAGACACGGCCCAAACUCCUACGGGAGGCAGCAGUGGGGAAUAUUGGACAAUGGGCGAAAGCCUGAUCCAGCAAUGCCGCGUGUGUGAAAAAAGCCUUCGGGUUGUAAAGCACUUUAAGUGGGAAAGAAAUGCAUUCAAUUAAUACCUGGAUGUAUUGACGUUACCCACAGAAUAAGCACCGGCUAACUCCGUGCCAGCAGCCGCGGUAAUACGGAGGGUGCGAGCGUUAAUCGGAAUUACUGGGCGUAAAGCGUAUGUAGGCGGUUUGAUCAGUCGGAUGUGAAAUCCCCGAGCUUAACUUGGGGAAUGGCAUUUGAUACUGUCAAGCUAGAGUAAUUCUAAAGGAAAGGGGGAAUUCCCGUUGUACAGUGAAAUG